rnacentral:tRNA from 1 species
GGGCGCUUGGCUCAGUUGGUUAGAGCGCCACGUUUACACCGUGGAUGACAGAGGUUCGAAUCCUCUAGCGCCCA